rnacentral:lncRNA from 1 species
GUUUCAGUUUUGGUUAAAAAGUUUUUUAUCUGAAAAUGCCUGUUCAUUUGAUGUUGGUUUUCAGCAUGUCCAGUGUUUGUUGUUUUAAAAUGUUUUUUUUUCUUCACAAGAAACUUGGUUUAGUGUAACUGCUUGUUUAAACUGUAUUUUGGCUGAUAAAAUAAAAUAUUUUUCCUACCUACCGACCCUUCAGUCUGAAGGUACAGUCGGAAAACUGCAAACAAACAUAUUUUUAAGGUUGGCCUAACAGAGACUUACAU